CCCCGCGCCGCCCGGCCCCCUUCACAGAGUUCAUCACUCCUAGCGGAAGCGCCGCCAGCAUGUCUGAUAAACUGCCCUACAAAGUCGCGGACAUCGGACUGGCUGCCUGGGGACGGAAGGCCCUGGACAUAGCUGAGAAUGAGAUGCCAGGCUUGAUGCGCAUGCGGGAGAUGUACUCAGCCUCCAAGCCACUGAAGGGUGCUCGCAUUGCUGGCUGCCUGCACAUGACUGUGGAGACUGCUGUCCUCAUCGAGACUCUUGUGGCCCUGGGUGCUGAGGUGCGGUGGUCCAGCUGCAACAUCUUCUCUACUCAGGACCAUGCAGCAGCUGCCAUUGCUAAGGCUGGCAUUCCAGUGUUUGCCUGGAAGGGCGAGACAGAUGAGGAGUACCUGUGGUGCAUUGAGCAGACGCUGCACUUCAAGGAUGGACCCCUCAACAUGAUUCUGGAUGAUGGUGGUGACCUUACUAACCUCAUCCACACCAAAUACCCACAGCUUCUGUCAGGCAUCCGAGGUAUCUCUGAGGAGACCACAACUGGGGUCCACAACCUCUACAAGAUGAUGGCAAAUGGGAUACUGAAGGUGCCUGCCAUCAAUGUCAAUGAUUCUGUCACCAAGAGCAAAUUUGACAACCUCUAUGGCUGCCGGGAGUCCCUCAUAGAUGGCAUCAAACGGGCCACAGAUGUGAUGAUUGCGGGCAAGGUGGCAGUGGUAGCAGGCUAUGGUGAUGUGGGCAAGGGCUGUGCCCAGGCCCUGCGGGGUUUUGGGGCCCAAGUCAUCAUCACCGAGAUUGACCCCAUCAAUGCACUGCAAGCUUCCAUGGAGGGCUAUGAGGUAACCACCAUGGACGAGGCCUGUAAGGAGGGCAACAUCUUUGUCACAACCACAGGCUGUGUUGAUAUCAUCCUUGGCCGGCACUUUGAACAGAUGAAGGACGAUGCCAUUGUUUGUAACAUUGGACACUUCGAUGUGGAGAUAGAUGUGAAGUGGCUCAAUGAGAACGCCGUGGAGAAGGUGAACAUCAAGCCCCAGGUGGACCGCUACUGGCUAAAGAAUGGGCGCCGCAUCAUCUUGCUGGCUGAAGGCCGUCUGGUCAACCUGGGUUGUGCCAUGGGCCACCCCAGCUUCGUGAUGAGCAACUCCUUCACAAACCAGGUGAUGGCACAGAUUGAGCUGUGGACCCACCCAGAUAAAUACCCCGUUGGAGUUCACUUCCUGCCUAAGAAGCUGGAUGAGGCAGUGGCUGAAGCCCACCUCGGCAAGCUG